AACGAACGCUGGCGGCAUGCCUAACACAUGCAAGUCGAACGAGACCUUCGGGUCUAGUGGCGCACGGGUGCGUAACACGUGGGAAUCUGCCCUUUGCUUCGGAAUAACAGUUAGAAAUGACUGCUAAUACCGGAUGAUGUCGAAAGACCAAAGAUUUAUCGGCAAAGGAUGAGCCCGCGUAGGAUUAGGUAGUUGGUGGGGUAAAGGCCUACCAAGCCGACGAUCCUUAGCUGGUCUGAGAGGAUGAUCAGCCACACUGGGACUGAGACACGGCCCAGACUCCCCCGGGGGGCAGCGGUGGGGAAUUUUGGAAAUUGGCCGAAAGCUUGACCCACCAUUGCCGGGUGGGUUAUGAAGGCCUUAGGUUUGUAAAGCUCUUUUACCAGGGAUGUUAAUGACGGUCCCUGGAGAAUAAGCCCCGCCUACCCCCGU
rnacentral:rRNA from 1 species